UACGGAGGGGGCUAGCGUUGUUCGGAAUUACUGGGCGUAAAGCGCACGUAGGCGGCUUUGCAAGUUAGAGGUGAAAGCCCGGGGCUCAACUCCGGAAUUGCCUUUAAAACUGCAUCGCUAGAAUUGUGGAGAGGUAAGUGGAAUUCCGAGUGUAGAGGUGAAAUUCGUAGAUAUUCGGAAGAACACCAGUGGCGAAGGCGGCCAACUGGACCAAUACUGACGCUGAGGCGCGAAAGCGUGGGGAGCAAACGGG
rnacentral:rRNA from 1 species